rnacentral:tRNA from 1 species
GGCACUUUGGCCGAGUGGUCUAAGGCGCCGUGUUCAGGAAAUGAUCCAUUUCUUCAAUAUCGCGGUCCGCAAGGGCGUGGGUUCGAAUCCCACAGGUGUCA